rnacentral:rRNA from 1 species
UGCCAGCCGCCGCGGUAAUACGGAGGGUGCAAGCGUUAAUCGGAAUUACUGGGCGUAAGGCGUGUGUAGGCUGCGCGGAAAGUCAAAUGUGAAAGCCAAGGGCUCAACCCUUGAACUGCAUUCGAUACUCCCGUGCUAGAGUAAUGGAGAGGUAGGUGGAAUUCCUGGUGUAGCAGUGAAAUGCGUGGAUAUCAGGAGGAACAUCAAUGGCGAAGGCAACUUACUGGACAUUUACUGACGCUCAGACACGAAGGCUAGGGGAGCGAAAGGGAUUAGAUA